rnacentral:lncRNA from 1 species
GUGGCAUGACAUGCAUAUUCAAAGGUAAGAGUUCGAAGAGGGGUAGAAAGUGCUAUUGUAUAACUCGAGACUCAAGCUGUUCCCAAGAAAACUACGAUCAAGGUGGUUAGGUCCUUACACUGUCACGAAGGUCUUACCAUAUGGAGCUAUACAAGUUAGCCAUGAAACUAAGGGUAUCUUCACUGUUAAUGGGCAAAGGCUGAAACACUACUGGGACGGUGACUUCUCCAAUGAAAAAUCCACCGUUCAACUCGGGACGCUAGAAUGAAGUAGCUACAGAAAAGUCGAGCAAUCGACUAUAACCUAGCACUGGGUGGAGGCAACCCAGUGUAUCCUUUUAAUUUAAUUUAUUUUGCUUUCUGCAUCAGAUUAGGAAUUUUUCAAUUUCAGUUUUCAAAUUUUUUAAAUUAGGCCAUUGAUCAUCAUACAUGUUAAAAGAGUCCAAGCACUGUCCACACGAAUCCCUAAGCAUCACACACGAGUUCGGGUUGAUUGGAGUUGUUUUUGGUAAUUGGGGGUAUAAUUCACGCAUUUCGAGGCAAAAUUUUAUUUUCAAAAUUUCAAAUGUCAAUGCGUGAUUGUGAAUUUCAAAAAUUUGGUUUCGGGCACUGAGUUUAUGGUCUACGCAUACUCCAAAAUGUUUAGAAAUGUAUUUUUGAAAAAGUUGGGGUCAUUGAGAAGUCAGGCCGACCACUAAAUUGAAAACCAAAUUUUGGGGUGAAAUUUAAUCAAACUUGUGAUUUUGGGGAAAUU